GCACUCGAGCCCGCACCCGCGCCUCCCACGAACCCUAGCCUCCUGGCCGCCACCCCUUCCUUCCCCGUCUGCCUCCCCCCGCCCGCGCGCCGCGAGCCCCUCCCUCCUCUUCGCGUUCCGGGUGGCGAUAGUCGGGGUCAACGAGGAGAUGCACGCGGGCGGCGGCCAUGGUCGACUCCAUGAGCGGGACCACCGCCGUCGCGGCGCUCAUGGCCGGCGGCGCACUCCACGGGGCUCGGGACGUCCGCGGCGGCGCGGGCUGUGGACCGAGAGGCGGGGCCCGUGAUGCGUUCCGUUCGAGGGGCUGGUCGGGCUGGCGCGGGAUCUGAGCCACCGUCGAUGGAUUUCUCGCAGCUUGGCUCCUGUUGCUUUGGAUCCGGUACGAUCCCCAUCUCUCUCUCUGCGAGACUCAACCAGGCACUCACAGGAAUGCCAUAUCCUGAAAAGUAAGAAGUCCAUGCCCUUCUAAGGCAGGACCCAGAUUUCUUGAAUAUAGGCCCUUAUCUGAAGUGAUGAUUCGAGCAGCAAUGGAUGAUGUGUGCUUCCUUCUCAAUAUACAAGAGAAAAUGAUGGAGAAGUUGAGCAAAGUAUCUUCAUGGCGUCUGUCAGUACAAAGUGAGCUAUACUGUAGGUGUUUUGCAUAAAUGACAACCAACAUGAAGAUUGGCCGCCUCUUCCAGCUGUCCUUGUUUUGUUUUACUUUUCAAGGAUGAGUAUCUUUACUUUGAAAAUGAACUCGUCAUAUUUCUAUUGGAAAUGAAGUGAUGUUUCUUCCCAGUUGUCGGCCGGCCCCGAUGGAGCUAUGUCAGGAGGAGGCCCCCAGCGGCGUGCUCGCACACGCGUUCCACGGCGACCACAUCACCAGCGCCCCUGCCAUCCUCCUCCAAGCCCAUGGCUAGUGGCUCCCCAAGGCCAAGCUAUGUCAGGCUGCAGCAGCAAGGUGAGCCCCAUCACUCUGUGUUUAUUUCUUCAGAUCAUGCAGCAGCAAUGUGACUGAGGAAUCGAUGCUUUACAUAAUUGAUCAGUUAACUGGUAAUAUAUCUAUAGAAUAGGCAAGCAAAAAACAUUGCGUUUCCUAGAUGUUCCAUACGAUAUUAAAGUUGGGACUAGGCUAAUAGACAAACUGUAUAUCCGAUUAUGCUAGAAAAAGUAGAAUAAAAAGUUUACUUUUAUGAUGGUAGGAUGUCUUCCUUAGUUUUGUUUCCGAUGUUCUCUCUCAAAAAAGAAAUCUGGGAUACACCAUCAGUAUCAACACCGGUAAAAAGAAUCCAAUCAAAACAUGAUGUUUUUCCCUUGGCUAUAUGUUUAUUUGAAGGAAACCAUUCAAUUCUCAGUGAUCUUUCUUUAUGCUCCUUAUUGCCAUUUUUCCUAAUGCGCCUAUAGAAGUGAUUUAUCAGGUGUUUUGGUAUAUUAUCUUAUAUAAGGGAGUGCCAAAGUUUUUUGGAUUGUGAAUUAUCUGGUCAGAAUCGGUUGUUUUUCCCCUUGUGUUCAUUUAUUUCUCAGAUUGCAGAACUGACGAGUGUAGACUAAGUUGAUGAUCUACAUGUGUUGCUCCUCUCCCCUGAUGUGUACUGCAACUAUAAAUAGGGAGAGAAUUGCGUGAGGAGAGCUCUCUUGCUAUUGUUCUGAGCUCACUCUUUGACUAAUCUAAAUGCUCUCUCUGCUCACCGAUCGAUCAAGGAAGGCACUGUAAUAUCAGCAAGGACCAACACAAAAAGAAGGGAGAAUAAACGGGACCAAUUAAGUUACUUCUGUUUAAGAGUACACUACUUUUGACUUUGGAGUCACACUGGUGAAUGGGGCGUCGCAUGGUCUAUGCUGGAGGUGUUCACAUAUAACAAGUUCACUAUUUGUUCCAUUGGUUAGGGAAAACGCUUCCUUCCAACCGACUGAUUUCUCGCUCGCGUAAAUCUCCUCGCGCAUCGUCCGAUCGCGAGAGAUCCGACGGACCCGGUGUAGCGCACGACGCGAGCUAACAAGGACGCGUCUAUCGGCUCGGGUUGUCUCACCCGCACCCCCUUUCCUCACACCUACCUGCAUUGCAACAUUUUUCCCCUUUUCGGUUCGUUCCUCUCGCCCAAGCUCGCUCCAAAUCUCCGAUGCGACGGUCAUCGCGGCGUCCAGCUCCCGGGGCGGCGAAGCUGACGUGAGGUUGACGUGGGGAGGCGCGCGAGGAGGUCCGCGAGGAGGCGGCUGAAGACAUGGACGGCGACAAUCUGCAGGACAGGUUUCGGUGGUGCUCACGACUACUCCUGCAAUGUCGUCGACUGCAUGUGGAUUUAUGCAGACGGUUGCUGCUGUUUUUAUGUGUGUAGCAGCUAGCCGUUUGCGUGAGGUUGCAGACAAGGAGCUGAAUGCUAACAAGAGGGCAGUGCUAGAGAAGUUGAGUUUUGGUUCGUUGUUGAAGAUCAGACCAUUUUCUGUACCUCUUGAGCUGAUUGACUGGGUAGUUAUGAGAAUUGACACUAAGCAUUCUUUGUUCAGCCGUAAAAAGAAGACUAUUGUUCACUAGAGACAUGGUGCACAAAAUUUUUAAUGUCCCAUCCGGACCAAGGGUAGUGGAGCUGCUGAAGAGGAACGAACGUUGCGAGCUGCGCGACAUAUAUCGAGAAGGCACAAGGGCUCCAAUGAAGAAAUCCAUUUCUGUAAUCAAGAAAGCAUCGGAUAAUGAUGUUGUUACUUUAGAGAGGACUUGGGUUCUUUUAUGCCUUGCUCUCGUGCUAGUUCCUGGCACCGGCAACAUGGUCUUGUUGGACUACCUUGCUAGCUUGAAGGACUUGGAUGAACUGAAUGAGUUUGCGUGGGACGAGCAUGUGUUGGCAACUGCGUUGAGGGAGGCGGGGAAUUACCAACUAAAGAGGGAGGCUGGGGCAAGUGGCUUUUGGAUAGGCGGCUGUCUACCUAUGUUCGUGUUAAUUUACAUGGAUUUCCUGGAUGUGCCUCGGUCAUUGAUUAGUGAGGAGACGUUCAACUACUCGUUGCCCAGGGCUUGCUUUGUGUGCAAUGCAGAUUUUGAGCUUGUUAAAGAAUUUGACAGGAACAAGCUCACCCUCGAGAAGGUUGAUUUUGGAAAGUGCAAUUACUGAAGACGGACAAGCAAUGUGAGGGUCAGAAUCAACAUCAUCCGGCAAAUAUCACUAAUAGAGCUGACAAAGCCAACACUCAAGUCAGUGUUGAGGGUGAUUUAGGUGCUAAGUUUCGCGUCUCUCUGGAUGAGUGGCUGCAGCCGCUCCCUUCCUGCCAAGAGUUAGAGAUACCUUUGCACUUGAAGCCUAUAUAUGAGAAGCACAAAAAUCUCUAUACGGCAGAGUUGAAGAAUGUUGUUACCUCUUUUGGGCAGGUCCUGCAGUCAACUUUCUGCAAGCGGUUGGGUCUCAUGUUGAUGGAAGCGCACUCCAAUGCAGUGUCAA